GGGAAAAUAUAAAGUUUCCUUUUAUCUUUUAAAGCUCCCCUCAAAAGCUUUCUCUCCCAUUUCUUUCUUACAGAUCUAUAAUUUUUUCAGAUCAAGCAUGAGUUAUUACUCCCUUUUACUUCUUUUUAUCAUUAGCUAUCUAAAACACCUGCACACGAUUUGUGGCGCAUGAAAGCUCCAAUUAUCCGUGUAGUACAGAAGAAAAUUAGGCUCCAGUUCCCGAUGAAGUUUCGAUGUCCUCUUCAUCUUCAACUUUUCCGGUUCUAAGUCGCCGGAAUUUUUGCUGGCGGUGGUGGGUUCUCUGUUGUUUGGAGUUGAUUCACUAUAACUAUCUCUAUAACUAAUUCAUGUUUUUAUCCAGAUCUUAAUUUCUGUUAUUUAUCUUCUUAACUAUAAGGUAUGAAGAAAAUAAGGUCAUGACUUGAAACCCCAACAAGUAUUUUUAUUUACAAUGGUUUCUGACCAAUAUCUUUUAAGCUUACAUGAGGCAUAAUCCAGAAAUUGAUGGCCGUAUUGUAUGGGAAAGGUUGACUAUACUGAGGUGGGGAAGUUGACCUGUUUAAAAGAUCAUAAAGUAGACCAUAGUUGACUGCCACAUUUUCCCAUUUCUUUGUUAAUAUUAAAGAAUUUAAGUAUUUUUCCUAUUUUUGAGGGUUAACUUUAGAUUUGGAACAAGGGUGGAUAAUCUGAUUGUGGAGAGUGGUCAUGAUGUUGGUGUCAAUGUAUCCGAUUCAAGUGGAGGAUUACAAUUUAGUAGCAAGAAGCUAGGAUUUGAUGCAGUUGUUCUUGCAGUUGGGCAUUCUGCACGUGAUGUGUAUCGAAUGCUUCUUUCUCAUAACUUGGAAUUGGUUCCCAAAGAUUUUGAUGUAAGUUACAUUUAUGUCAUUGUUUCAGAGAACAAGAUGGUGGGGUUGGGUAAUGGGUCAUAAUUGCUUUGGGGUUUGAGCUGAAAUAGUUUGCUAUUAAAUACAGGCCCAACCGGACUGGGUCGUUUCUGUUGAUUGACACUUUUUUUGUAGGAGUGAAGGUAAAUCUUUACUAAACAUUACGGCAAAUUGGACCGGUUGGGUAAUGAUUCAAAAGAAACUCUUUUUAAUAGGUUCAAAAGGGGUUAGUUGUAUCAACACCAGGUUUGCAGAGAUGAAGCGGCAGUUGCAACAAGUAGUUGAAACAAGUGAUAGCCAAUACUCAAAAAAUCUGUUCACCAAACCCCCUAAAAAAGACUUACUUGCAGAUAUGUAUUCAAGCUGCUUGUAAGUGUUCUUAAAGUAAGGUGGUCAUUUACAUGAAUUUGCAGCAGACUUUAAGUGACGGACAGCAUUUGAAAAAAGCGAUUCAACAAUCCUUAAAAAAGAAGGUUAGAGUGAUGGUUGUUAAGACUGUUUCCGAUCCCUGCCUAAAAGAAAAUUUCAGUUUUGGGGAGUAAAUACAUAUGCUUUCUUUGUAAUUAUGUUUGACAGAAAACUAUUUGGUUGGACAUAUCUUUAUUAGUUUAUGCUAUGUGGAAGUGUAUGCUAUAUGUUGCUGCAAUGUUGUUAGAUUUACACUCAAAGGAUGUUUUAGAGACACUUCAUAUGAAGUUUUCUAUUAUAUUAUUUUAGGUA